GGUGGUCCUCCGUAGCCACAGCAAGCCAUUAUGGGUUGCUCAAAUCCAUAUCGAGAAUAGUUUGAGAUAAGGUUAGAUUUUAUAGUGUAGAUAUCAACAUAUGUGACAUUUGAAUCCACGUAUUGGCCCUGUAGUUUUUUGCAGAGAGCAUGAAGCUGCAGAUUAAAAAGUUUAGCUGCUUGAUUAUGCCCACUGACGCAUCCAAACUCGUCAAGCUUUGAUGGAUCAGCUCCAAAUUUCGCAACAUUCUGAGUCAAGCAUCCAAGAGGACCUGUGUUGUGUAUCCAAAAAUUCCUUGCUCCUUGAUCAUGUAAUCUCUUGAUUCCAGCUUCAAAU
rnacentral:misc_RNA from 1 species